rnacentral:lncRNA from 1 species
GGGAAGAACACUGUAAAUUCUUCAUUCAUAUCAAAAGUGAUAUUACAAGGAGUAAGCUAUUUUAAAGAAACCAAAGCUCCUGGUCAAAGCAUUUACUUGGUUGAUGUUCAACUAUGAUAUAUACAAGGAAAAAGUGUCGGUUGUGCAGAGUAUGACAAACGUGAGCAACCACGUGGAAUGGUGUCCCUGAAGUUGUUGGAUCCUCCUUUGAAAGCUGCUAGAUGUUCUAUGUUGGUGUUGGGCGCAAGCCCCCUUCUGUUGGGCGUCAGGCUUCAUUAUGCUUUAAAUAAGUUGCUAGAAUGUUUCCCUCGUUGGGCUUCCACCAACAGCUCACUAGGCGGUUCCUGAAUGCAUCCAAGUGAAGAUUUGACUUACCUCUCCAUUCUUUAUGUUUCCUUGCUUCUUUCCUUGAUUCUUCUUAUCAUUUUGAAAGUGUUGGAUCCCUUAAUGAUCAUAGGGCUUGGCCUUAUUCCAUUAUUUUCUUCCUCUUAAGAAGAAUUUGUCUUCAAAUCAGAUCGCCUUUUAUUAAGAUGACAUUUUUGUUGUAUAAAAAGGUCCUUCCAAUCUUUUGAGCUAACCAUUUUGGAGUGGCCUUAUUUCUUUAUUUCUUUGGAAUCCACACGACUUCUUCCGGAAUCAAAUAUUAAUUUGCAAUACACAUCAAACAUAUCUCUAAUUAAUAUUGUUCUAAUAAAAAAUUCUUUUAAAAGAGUAUAUUUAGAAUGAAGACUUUUUAUAUUUGGUUUUAUAAUUUUGAGAAAAAUUCAAAGUCCUAUUUCAUAAGACAAUUUGUUUUUGUCUUGAGUUACUUGUUUCCACAAGGGUAACAAUAUCUGAAUAUUUGAAUAAAUGUAGCAUAAUAAAGAAUGGUAUGGAAAUUUAUUUAAAAGAGAAGUUAAAAUUUAAAAACUCAAAGUAAGCAUAAAAAAGUUUAAGGAUUGAGAACCUCCCCUUAAAAGUCUUGGGUCCAUUAUAAUUGUAGGAGUAGAAGUUGCCCUCAGUAGCAAUUUCUCCUUUUCUCUCUUUUCUUUUUCUUCCCUUUCUAUUCUAUCUUGUCAUUCUCUCUUCUUUUCCUCUUCUAUUCUUUUUUCCUCUUCUUUUCUCUUUUGUUCUUUUGUUCUCUCUUUUUCUUCUUUUUCUUUCUUUUCUUCUCUUUCUUUCUUUUCUCUUAAUUCCUCUUCU